rnacentral:ncRNA from 1 species
GGUGCCGCCGGGCGGUGCGGGUCUUGAGGGUUGGGGAACCCGGUGACGGGCCUGUGCCGAGGUCUGUCGGGGUCCAAGGGAGCCCUGGCGGGUCGUUUCGGCGAAGGGG